CAGCAGCCCUGGAAGCUUGUCUGAGUUUUUUAUUCAGGGACAUCGACAAAAUGUCCAGAAAGAAUAGAACAAAAGAGAAAUUUCUAGACGGUUUGCAACCCUGCUCCUGAGCUGUGAUGGGGAGAGAGCUGCAGCAGAAAGGACACCCCCCCUGAACUGCAGCAGAAAGGGCCCACCCCCUGAACUGCAGCAGAAAGGACACUCCUCUUGAGCUGCAUUGAUAUAAAUCUUACAGAUCUGAAUGAGGAGAUCUCUGGAUCCAUGUGAGGUACAGGGCUUGUCCUAGCUUUGUAAAAAGAAGACUGCCAUGUUCUAUAUGAUGUCGGAUUUUCAUUUUUUACAUUUAUCAUGGAAUAACCCCUUUAAGUCAAUCAAAUCAGAACCUGGCUUCUUCUUCUAGUACCAUCUUCCCUAGGGACAUCAAGCAGUUGAGCUGGAAUUUCGUCACAGGGUCACCAAUUCCACAAGGCAAUGGUCACCAACCCGUGGCUCUCCAGCUGUUGCAAAACCGGCUCUGCUUGACUGACAGGCAGGUUGUAAUGAAAUAAGUGCACGGCCUCUGAUCUGUCUGCCCCUCCACCAGCCGCGCUCUGUUUCCCUGUCUCUCUGGAUUUAUGCCGUAUUCAGUGAUUAUGGAAUCGCCUUUGAAGAAGUCUAUGAGGGGCUUUCACACAUGCUGUUUCCAAGCAGUUUUUGAAGCCAAAGCAAGGAGUGGAUAGUAACGGGAGGGGAA